rnacentral:rRNA from 1 species
UACGGGGGGAGCAAGCGUUGUUCGGAUUUACUGGGCGUAAAGGGCGCGUAGGCGGCCAGCACAAGUCAGUUGUGAAAUCUCCGAGCUUAACUCGGAAAGGUCAACUGAUACUGUGCGGCUAGAGUGCGGAAGGGGCAACUGGAAUUCUCGGUGUAGCGGUGAAAUGCGUAGAUAUCAGGAAGAACACCAAUGGCGAAAGCAGCUCUCUGGGACGGUACUGACGCUGAGACGCGAAAGCGUGGGGAGCGAACAGG